GAUGAAGAACGCAGCGAAAUGCGAUAAGUAAUGUGAAUUGCAGAAUUCAGUGAAUCAUCGAAUCUUUGAACGCACAUUGCGCCCGCCAGUAUUCUGGCGGGCAUGCCUGUUCGAGCGUCAUUUCAACCAUCAAGCCCCCGGCUUGUGUUGGGGACCUGCGGCUGCCGCAGGCCCUGAAAUGCAGUGGCGGGCUCGCUGUCACUCCGAGCGUAGUAAUUCUGUUUCUCGCUUAGGGCGUUGGGCGGCGCUCCAGCCGUUAAAGUACCCAUCUUUAACACAAGGUUGACCUCGGAUCAGGUAGGAAUACCCGCUGAACUUAAGCAUAUCAAUAAGCGGAGGA
rnacentral:misc_RNA from 1 species